rnacentral:rRNA from 1 species
CCUACGGGAGGCAGCAGUGAGGAAUAUUGGUCAAUGGACGAGAGUCUGAACCAGCCAAGUAGCGUGAAGGAUGACUGCCCUAUGGGUUGUAAACUUCUUUUAUAUGGGAAUAAAACGUUCCACGUGUGGGUUUUUGUAUGUACCAUAUGAAUAAGGAUCGGCUAACUCCGUGCCAGCAGCCGCGGUAAUACGUAGGGUCCAAGCGUUAUCCGGAUUUACUGGGUUUAAAGGGAGCGUAGACGGCUGGGCAAGCCAGUUGUGAAAGUCAGGGGCUCAACCGCAGAAUUGCAGUUGGAACUGUGCUGCUUGAGUGUAGUAGAGGUAGGCGGAAUUCGUGGUGUAGCGGUGAAAUGCGUAGAUAUUAGGAGGAACACCAGUGGCGAAGGCGGCCUGCUGGACGGCAACUGACGUUGAGGCUCGAAAGUGUGGGGAUCAAACAGGAUUAGAUACCCCUGUAGUC